rnacentral:rRNA from 1 species
UACGUAGGGAGCGAGCGUUGUCCGGAUUUAUUGGGCGUAAAGAGCGCGUAGGCGGCUUGGUAAGCCGGAUGUGAAACCCCCGAGCUCAACUCGGGGCGGCCAUUCGGAACUGCCAUGGCUAGAGUCUGGUAGGGGAACACGGAAUUCCUGGUGUAGCGGUGAAAUGCUUAGAUAUCAGGAGGAACACCAGUGGCGAAGGCGGUGUUCUGGGCCAGUACUGACGCUGAGGCGCGAAAGCGUGGGGAGCGAACAGG